rnacentral:rRNA from 1 species
CGGUAAUACCAGCUCUCCGAGUGGUAGGGAUGAUUAUUGGGCUUAAAGCGUCCGUAGCUGGCCUAGCAAGUCUUCCGUUAAAUCCACCGAUUCAAUCGUUGGACUGCGGGAGAUACUGUUGGGCUAGGGGGCGGGAGAGGCCGACGGUAUUCUCGGGGUAGGGGUAAAAUCCUAUAAUCCCGGGAGGACCACCAGUGGCGAAGGCGGUCGGCUAGAACGCGCUCGACGGUGAGGGACGAAAGCUGGGGGAGCGAACCGGAUUAGAUACCCGGGUAGUCCCAGCUGUAAACGAUGCGGGCUAGGUGUUGGGGCGGCUACGGGCCGCUUCAGUGCCGCAGGGAAACCAUUAAGCCCGCCGCCUGGGGAGUACGGCCGCAAGGCUGAAACUUA